rnacentral:rRNA from 1 species
AUUGAACGCUGGCGGCAGGCCUAACACAUGCAAGUCGAACGAGUGGCGGACGGGUGAGUAAUGUCUGGGAAACUGCCUGAUGGAGGGGGAUAACUACUGGAAACGGUAGCUAAUACCGCAUACCAUCGGAUGUGCCCAGAUGGGAUUAGCUAGUGGGUGGGGUAAAGGCUCACCUCGUCGACGAUCCCUAGCUGGUCGGAGAGGAUGACCAGCCACACUGGAACGGAGACACGGUCCAGACUCCUACGGGAGGCAGCAGGGGGGAAUAUUGCACAAUGGGAGCAAGCCGGAUGCAGCCAUGCCGCGUGUAUGAAGAAGGCCUUCGGGUUGUAAAGUACUUUCAGCGGGGAGGCGUUACCCGCAGAAGAAGCACCGGCUAACUCCGUGCCAGCAGCCGCGGUAAUUC